GACUAGAAUAGUUAUCUAGAUAAUGUACAUUUGCUGUUUCCUGUUUUAACAAUUAUCUUGAUUAAUCUAUUCAAUUCCAUGAAUCUUGACACUUAACAAAUCAUAGUAUAAUAUAAUUAAAAGUUUGCUGAGCAGAUUUUCUAAGAAUAAUAACAGAUGAAAGUUUUCUCACAAUUAGUGACGGACGGAAAUUUUAAUCAGGUGGGCUUUAAUAUUUGUGUGUGUGUGUGUGU
rnacentral:misc_RNA from 1 species